ACAAAAAAACAUUCCCAGGGGAUUCCAAUGUCCAGUGGGCAUUAGAAAGUUGUUGUUGUUGUUGUUGUUAUUUGUUUAUUAUCACGUUAGCCAUUAUUUAUUAUUAUGUCACAUAUGUGAGACCACAAGGGCUGCUCCCCGCAUACCGGUGGCCCCACCAGUUAGCUGCCUUGGGGAGGGGAGGAAGACCACCAGAGCCCAGGACGAUCUGCUGUGCAGAUCAUGAACCGUCGCCGCAGUGCCAGACAGACUCUUCAUCCGGACCGGCCGUCCCACUGGGUCCCCUCAGGAAAGCGCAGAAGCCGGGGACCCCAAACCGCGUCCGGCUCCUCCCACCCGCCCUUCUCGGAGCCGCGCACUUGGUAACUUGCGUGUGAAGAACUCACGGCCGUGUUGCCAGGAAACUGCGGGGAGCAGCCUUUGUGGUCUCACAUAUGCGUAACAUAAUAAUAAAUAACGGUUAACAUGAUAAUAAAUAAACAAAUAACAAUAAUUAUAA